rnacentral:tRNA from 1 species
GCGGGUGUAGUUUAGUGGUAAAACUCCAGCCUUCCAAGCUGAUCUUGAGGGUUCGAUUCCCUCCACCCGCU